UUUCAGGGAAGUGGAUAGUCACUCCAGAGUUUGUUCUGCUCCCAGAGGCUUCAUAUGAAUUAAACUUAACAGCUCAGACUCCUGAAACACCCAAUCCACUGAAAACAUGGAGAGAGAGAGAGAGAGAGGGUGUCUAAUGGCACUGUGUACGGAGCUUUUCAGGACUGGGUACUAGUGCUCAUUGACAUUGAUGAUCCAGCGAGGAGAAGUGUGUAUGUCAGGAUAUUAAAAGCAGGCAGAGCUGUUGUCAUCACAGACUGGUCGACUUCAUAUGAUGUAACUCACGUGAUAACCACAAAUACAUCCAAAGAUAAAGGCGAGAAGUGCAGAAUCCCUCACUAUAGUGUCAGCUAUGUAGCCAAACAUCUUUUUGGGCAUGUUUGCUCAGAGUUAAACUGAUCCUGUAAUCUGGAGUCCUUCA
rnacentral:lncRNA from 1 species